GUUUGUCUGUACUUGUUUAUUUGUUUGUCUGUAUUCCAAUGGACAAAACUUGUACCACUGACCCCCAGAAUCCCCAUUACAAAGAGGGGAGGCACAUAGCUGUUGAAAUGAGGCUUGACCGGAUUCUUGCUGAAGCCAAGCAUCUGAGAUCUGGAAACGGGCAUCCUUCCAAGACUCUGCAACAAAGGCUAAAAGGACAAGGCAAGAACAAGGAAAGCCCAGGGGGAGAUGUGGUGGGCAACGCAGAACCUCAGCUACAGAUGCACAGCCUCAAGCUGAGUGCUCCCUGUCAUCCAGUGUGGAAGAUGUGCCUACCUUACCAUCAACAUCAGUUCCUCUGGAGAAAUUUGAAAAAAAUAUAUGGAAAAGCUCUCUGCUAUUUUGGCAUUAUGUCAUUCUGCUGAGCCUCAGAGAAGCUCUCUAUCAUCCUGGUUUGUCCGUUAGCACAAAGCCUCAGAGCGCUGGAAAGAGUCAAGACCACACAACCUCCAGUGCCUCAUAGAGAAGGAAGCUGUUGGUCAUCCCUUGUGUUGCCUCUGCAAUGAGCCUGCUAUCAUUCGGUGAAAAGAUCGUCUUCCUGAAGAGUGGGUCUGUGGUGACUGUGAUGUACUGCAUCACAAAAAGCAGCCACUCCACAACAGAGAAUGCAUCAUUAAUGUUUUUUUUAAAGCCAUUCCACCAACUACAUGCAUCAUGAAACAGGAGGAUAGAUAUUGCACCCAUGAGCAAGCAUGUAUUUUGCCAACUGUGAAGCCACCAUGCUGUUCUUGUGGGGCACACAUGUGAUCACAUCACCAGGAAAACCAGUGAUUUUAAUUACAUCAAUGAGGCAGUGGACUCCUGAAUUAAAGGACCUCAUUAGGAGUGGAUAUUGGCCAGCCUCUCUUCACGUGUCCACAUUGUACACGUUGGACCUUCUGAGCUCCUUUCAGGAACUGAAGAUCAUUGCUCCUGGUUUAAUCAGACAGGCCUUUGCAAAGUUGCUGGAGCAUCGCACAAAGUGUGGAGGAAGAUCUGGACAUAUCAACGGAGAUGCACUGCAGCACAGUUUUUUAGAGUUUUCCUACUCUUCAUUUGAGGAAAACCAACUCUGCUGCGGUGGUGAAUUCAGCUGUCCAGCCUGCACACCUGAAAUGUUGGCUGUUUCUGUUGAUGGAAACAGAAAGUUAUAUCGCUUUGGUCACAGUGGAAGCUCUGAUGAUCCUGCCUUUUUUGAGGGGCACUUUGUGGCAAAGAACAAUGAAGUCGCCACAUUUACUGAGGCCAUCCAAAAAACAGUGAAAAAUGCA